UAGCUGGUUUCUCNNGAAAAAGAAUUUAAGUCCAACCUAAANGUAAUCUCGAUUCACAUAAAUCACCCCACCACUUUAGAGCAAUUCAAAUGAGGUACAGCCCAUUUGAUACAGGAUACAACCUUAACUAACGGGUAACAUUAAAUCUACACCUUCAAGUAGGCCUAAGAGCAGCCACCCUUAAAAGCGUCAAAGCUUAAUCAUGUUUACAUCAAUUUAAAAUCUCCCAUUGACCCCUUUAACUUUACUGAGAAUUUCUAUAUCAUAUAGAACAUUUUAUGCUAAGACUAGUAACAAGAGAAAACCCUCUCCCAAUGCAAACACAAGCCAGCAAGAACCCAUCACUGGCAACUAACAGACCUAGACAAAAGUAGCAACAUCACUAGAAAACCCUACUUCUCACAACUGUUAACCUAACACCAGAGCAUUUCAGGGAAGAUUAAAAGAAAAAGAAGGAACUCGGCAAACACCAAUCCCGCCUGUUUACCAAAAACAUCGCCUCUUGUUACUAUAAGAGGUCAAGCCUGCCCAGUGACUUUGUUCAACGGCCGCGGUAUCCUAACCGUGCGAAGGUAGCGUAAUCACUUGUUUUCUAAAUAAAGACCAGUAUGAAAGGCAUCACGAGGAUUAAACUGUCUCCUUUUUCCAAUCAGUGAACCUAAUCUCCCCGUGAAGAAGCGGGGAUUAUUCUAUAAGACGAG
rnacentral:rRNA from 1 species